rnacentral:misc_RNA from 1 species
GAAAUGCGAUAAGUAAUGUGAAUUGCAGAAUUCAGUGAAUCAUCGAAUCUUUGAACGCACGUUGCGCCCCCUGGCAUUCCGGGGGGCAUGCCUGUCCGAGCGUCAUUGCUGCCCUCAAGCACGGCCGGUGUGUUGGGCCCCCGCCCCCCGGAAUGCCAGGGGGGCGGGCCCGAAAGGCAGCGGCGCCGUCCGUCUGGUCCUCGAGCGUAUGGGGCUCUGUCACUCGCUCGGGAAGGACCUGCGGGGGUUGGUCACCACCACAUUUUACCACGGUUGACCUCGGAUCAGGUAGGAGUUACCCGCUGAACUUAC